rnacentral:misc_RNA from 1 species
CGCGGCAGCAGCGCAGACGACAUGGACAGCUUGUGAUAGGCCCCUAAUCGAAGUUUUGUUUAAUUUCGACAUGCACGUUACCCCAGUAUGGAGGAUGACCCAUAUGAAGAUGAAAGUUGUCCUGACUUUGAGCCAGCAGUCCAGUCUACUGGUCCGUCAGAAGCAGUGUUGUGUGUUCAGAGAAUGCUUGGAGAACAACUUGACACUAACAUUUCUUUAGAACAGCAAGCUUCUAAAAGCAGGUCAUUCACCCAGGCUGCUGCAACCUUCAGACCUUUUGUCGAGCAGGCCAGCGGUCAAUUAUCCCUGGAGGAGUUUCAGGCCCUUGAGAGAGAGCACGAGGGACUUGAGAAGCUAAGAGCAUGCGGUCUGAGCGAUGAAGAAAUUGCCCUCAAAUUGGAGCAUGAGGGCAGACACCUGUCUAACCUCCUUUAUCCUCACAAGCGCCAUCGUUCCAUUGCUGAUCCGGUUGCUAGGCUGAAACGUCUCAAGGAAGUGGAAGGCAAAAUCCAAAGGAAAAAGGCAUCACUCAGCUCAUCCCAAGAUGCUGCUUCUUCUGACAACAAAGAGACAGAUAACGACCUUCAAGGAAGUGCCAUCAGCUCACCUAAACAUCCUUCAUUACUCAGCAAGAAGUUUGUCCAUCCUGAUGAUCCCAUCAACCAUCUAGACACUAUCACCGCUGGCCUGUUUGGGGAAAGUAGUCAAGGUAAACAAGUUAGAAAUGUUUCUCAGAGAAGUGGAAAUGCCGUGUCCCUCAUGGCUGAACCCUCCGGAGGAUGCAGUCCAGGUUGCCAAGGCAACGGACCUCAUGCAGCAAAAAAGGAAUGGCAGGCUAAUGAGUGCUCCUCUAAGGAAAAAUCUGUGGAUGGCUACCAAGAUGGAUUAAGAGUAAAAUGUGCAUUAGAGACCUGCGGCAGGGAUUCCUGUCGGGAGUCUAUCACAAAACGUGCUCUUCACAUCAGUAAAGACGGAAAUUUGACUAACACCCCUGAGCAAGAAAUAGCCCUGGAGGGCUGUCCAGAGGAGGAGAUUUCAAAUAGUGCCAUAGGGAGUCAAGAAACAGGAAAGAUAUCUCGGCAGAUCUCUGGGGUCCAAGGAAAAUGCAUGGAUGAACAAGAUGAGGAUAAGAAGCCCCGUAGACUGGCCUGUAUUGUCAGUCCUUUGUCACGAGAGGAUUUAUUGCACCAUCAUCUAAGUCAGGAUGACAUUCGUAGGAUGGAGCGCUUUGCAAACUACUCACCAGGGGAACCAAGCAAGGUUCUCUACCUUAAGAACCUGUCGACGAAAGUCACAGAGGCUGAUCUGGCAUCACUCUUUAUCAGUUUCCAGCAUCCUGACAAACCUAAGAUUAUCUUCAAACUUCUCAAAGGAAGGAUGAAAGGGCAAGCUUUUGUGACCUUUGCAGACACAGAAAUGGCAGUUGAAGCAAUGGCACAUGCCAAUGGUUAUCCCUUGAAAGGGAAACCAGUGAUCAUUCAGUUUGGAAAGCAGAGAUGACGGACGACAAGUGACAUCAUGAGAGUCUUCCCCCAAAAUGAAAUCUGUUGCUAGCUUUAGCUCAUCUCCCGCUGGUGUCUUCUUCAUCAAUAUCGCCAUCAUCAUCAGUAGAUGUGGCAUCAUCACUUUCGUCAACGUUAAGUCUUUAGUUCCAAGUCAACACGACAGUGCUCCAGGUCUACAGAUUAUUGGAAACAUUCUGACCCUUCUUCUCAUCAAUCAAGAAAUUGAAAAUUUAGCAAGAUCUCAAAUCCACGGAGAAUAUUCAUGAGAGCUUGUUGGAUCUGCAAGCGCCCUUCGCAAGGCCUACUGACUGAAUGUUAGAGUCGAUAGAGAAUCUACAAGUCUCCAGUGGGAAUGAAUACCAGGUUUAAGACCGACGACUUUGACGAUAAAUGAUUCAAUUUGAUCCUCCGUCCAGCAGCCCAUUGGGUACGGAACUUGAGACUUUUUUAAUUGAGACUGCUUAAAGGUAUAACCUAAUUGUUUAGUUGAAAUAAUAACGUAAUUGCGAAUUGAAAUAAAGUACUCUUGUGAUUCCAAUCUCUUCUUGUUUGUAAUCACGGUUCGAAACAUUAAACAAGACCUUUUUUAGACCUGAC